GAUGAACGCUAGCUACAGGCUUAACACAUGCAAGUCGAGGGGAAACGGGCGCCAAGCUUGCUUGGGGCAGUCGUCGACCGGCGAAUGGGUGAGUAACGCGUAUCCAACCUGGCCGUAAGCGGGGAAUAGGCUUUCGAAAGAAAGAUUAAUGCCCCACUGAGGUCCCCGGGAACGGGCAUCUGAGGGGGACGGAAAGAUCCGUUGCUUACGGAUGGGGAGUGCGUCUGAUUAGGCAGUUGGCGGGGGCGAAACGG
rnacentral:rRNA from 1 species